rnacentral:rRNA from 1 species
CCCUUAGAUGUCCUGGGCCGCACGCGCGCUACACUGAUGCAUUCAACGAGUCUACCUUGGCCGAGAGGCCUGGGCAACCUUUUAAACGUGCAUCGUGAUAGGGAUAGAUUAUUGCAAUUAUUAAUAUUGAACGAGGAAUUCCUAGUAAACGCAAAUCAUCAAUUUGCAUUGAUUACGUCCCUGCCCUUUGUACACACCGCCCGUCGCACCUACCGAUUGAAUGGUCCGGUGAGGCCUCGGGAUUGUGACUAGUUCACUUCAUUGUGGAUUGGUUGCGAGAACUUGUCCAAACCUUAUCAUUUAGAGGAAGGUGAAGUCGUAACA